AAGCCAGUCAAUGAGUCUGCUUACCUGAACGUGUUCCCGCAGAAAUGGAGAGAGCUGGCGAUAGUACAGCCAUGUUACGAGCCUUAAAGACGCUGCAGUCAUUAAGGUCCCUGAAAAUGGCUACAUGA